rnacentral:rRNA from 1 species
CUGGUGCCAGCAGCCGCGGUAAUUCCAGNUCCAAUAGCGUAUAUUAAAGUUGCUGCAGUUAAAAGCUCGUAGUUGAAUUUCGGGAUCGAUAUAUCGGUCGUGCCUCGGUACGUACUGGUAUUUCGGUUUCUCCCUUCUGACGAACCUUGAUGUCAUUAAUUUGGUGUCUUGGGGAAUCAGGACUGUUACUUUGAAAAAUUAGAGUGUUUAAAGCAGGCUCACGCUUGAAUACAUUAGCAUGGAAUAAUGAAAUAGGACGUUUGAUUCUAUUUUGUUGGUUUCUAGGAUCGACGUAAUGAUUAAUAGGGAUAGUUGGGGGCAUUAGUAUUCAAUUGUCAGAGGUGAAAUUCUUGGAUUUAUUGAAGACUAACUACUGCGAAAGCAUUUGCCAAGGAUGUUUUCAUUAAUCAAGAACGAAAGUUAGGGGAUCGAAGACGAUCAGAUACCGUCGUAGUCUUAACCAUAAACUAUGCCGACUAGGGAUCGGAUGAUGUUAAUUUUUUAAUGACUCAUUCGGCGCCUUACG